GGUGGACAAGUCGGACUAUGACAUGGUGGAUUAUCUGAAUGAACUAAGGGAAAGCUGCUUGGAAGCCUAUACCGGAAUUGUCCAGGGAUUGAAGGGAGACCAGGAGAACGUACACCCGGAUGUGAUGCUCGUACAACCCAGAGUAGAAUUUAUUCUGUCUUUCAUUGACCACAUUGCUGGGGAUGAGGAUCACACAGACGGAGUAGUAGCUUGUGCUGCUGGACUGAUAGGGGACUUAUGUACAGCAUUUGGGAAGGAUGUCCUGAAAUUAGUAGAAGCUAGGCCAAUGAUCCAUGAACUGUUAACUGAAGGACGGAGAUCGAAGACUAACAAAGCAAAAACCCUUGCUACAUGGGCAACAAAAGAACUGAGGAAACUGAAGAACCAAGCUUGAUCUUGUUACCAUUGGGAUGAUAACCUGAGACCCCCACUGGAAAUCUCCAAUCUUUUGAAAAACCCGGAAGUGAGGAGUGUGCACGGAUGCUGAAUGUUUGGGAAUGAAAGGAUGAGUGAGUGAGGCUUGAAAACACACCACAUUGAAAAUCCUGCCACAGCAGCAGCCGCAGCCGCCAACAGCAGUGCUGUUAGUGAGCUAAGUAAGCACUGACUUCGUAGAAAACCAUAACGUCGGCCAUCUUGGAAGAGAGAAUAACCGAUGGAUUUACUUACAAAAGAAAGCUGUCUCUUCCCAGGAGAGGCUAGAACUAGCCUUUCUGUCUUUUGGCCGGUGUUGAGUGAGUGGAAUGACUAGUUUGCGGGAGGAGGAGGAGGAGGAGGAACUGGGUUCAGCUGUGGUGCUUUGUUGUAAAAGGCAGCCUGGCCUUUGCUACUGAUAAGAAAGAUGGAGCCUGGGUCUCGAGCCCACCUUUGGUGUACCUUUGCCAUACGGUACUGUAUGUGCCGGCUAAAAGGAGGGCGAGGGAUUCUUUACAGUCUGAGAAUGAGUGUGUGUGAGUGAGGCGGUAUCCACAUUCUCAACUUCAAGUCAUUGCAGUUUCUUUUUCCCGGAAAAAAAGGGGUUAGACAUUGCAUUUCAUAAAACUAACAGAAGUUCUGUCUACUGAUGCAGCACAAGAGAUGUAAAAAAAGGGGGGGGAGGGGAUGCUCUUUAGGUUUCAUUUUUUGUUUUGUUUUGUUUUUUAAUUAUCUUCUAGGGAAAACACUGACGAAUGUUCAGAGCUCCCAUUCUGAUCUAUCUCAUCAAGGCGCCUUUCCUAAUAAUAUGGUUCAACUGUGAAUGUAGAAUGGGGGGAGGGGGGAGAAAAAAAAACUCUGGAGUUAGAUGAUAUAGAAAAAAUAAAAAUACAAUUGUUACAAAUAAAGAAUGCAGACUUCAAAAACAAAAGAAAGCCACAACCCCCCAAAAAAACAAAAUUUAAAUGCUCAGAUUGGCAGCACAAAAGAAACGUUCUCUUCUGACAUGUAUCAAGGCAGUCUGAACGCCCCCAGAAAAUUGUGCCAAAGAGUUUAGAAAACAAAUACACAAUAAAGUAAACACACACACACACAUAGCAAACUUCAGGUAACUAUUUUGGAUUGCAAACAAGGAUAAAUUUAAUGUUCAAACAAUCUGAUAAAAUAACCAUUUGGAAACUGCUUGGCCUUCUGUUCUCUUAUUUGAUUGACUGCAAUGCGGUAUUGGUCUCUUGCUGCACUUCAAAACCAACUAACCAACAACAAAAGAAUAUAUAAGUAUAUAUAUACAUAUACUUAGACUAGAACUCUUGUGAUGAAAGUGGCACUUGAAAAAGGUUAUAUUUUUCCACUGAAGUUGAAGAUUAAUAAAAUGGUGUCAAACAUUCCCCUGGUCACACGCUUUAAUAUUUUUUUAAAAGUGUGAUGUGCUGUGAUAACCAUAAAUCAGACUUAAUUAUGUUCCCUUUACACAGGGAACAGGGCACCCUGAAUUUGGGUUUUCGAAUCUUUCAGCAAUAAGGGAUGUGGGUGAGCUUUGAUCCUCUUCUGGUUUUGCAGUUAUUAGAGGAGUUUUUGCCGGCAUUUUGAAUAUGCUGCUUUCAAAAAGACCAAGGAAGAUUCUUAAAUGCUUCCUAGUAUUUGGAGGAUUGAAAAACAAGACCUUAAAUCCCCACUUCCGUUUUCAUUCUAGCAAAAAAAUAGGGGCUUAUGUAUUUCUCUGCCAUUUUCCCCUUCCUGUCCAAGCCUUUCGUUCAUAUGUGGGUUUGGCUCGGUUUUGCCCAUCCAUAUGGCAGCAUCUCUAAUAGCUCUUGUACAGGGUAUCAGAUAUUGUGCCUUUUGGUGCCAGGUUCAAAGUCAAGUGCCGAUCUAUGAACCAGUGUACAAAAAAUAAAUCCAGGUAUUUGAAGAAAAGACGCUCCAUUGUGAAUAGAGUGCACCAGCUCUUAAGCCCUAAGAAGAGACCUGGCCCUCUAAUGCCUUGUGUAAAUUUUAGUUGUUCCUUGAGGGAGAGGGUAUACUAACCAUUCCUGGUAGACAGGGUUUGGUCAAGGCUUAGGGAUGCGGCAGGAAUAUUGGGGAGAAAAAAAUGAUCAUUCCUCAGUGCUACCCAUUUCUGUCCUGUGUGGGCUGCUUAGCUAGACAGCAGGAGAAUAAAGUACACCAAGAACCAUAAUGAAAACAAAACCUUGCGUGUGUUUUGUCAUUUUGUUCCAGGGAAGCAGUUGACAAGUGCUGUUAUUAAAGCUUUCUCCCAGAUCCAUUCAGUGAUGGAGAGGAGGAAAAUGGGCUGGUUGGAUUGUGGUCUUGGUGCCUCGCAGUUACUCUGCACUGGUUAUGCAUUUAAUCUAGUUACCUUUGGCUAGUGGGUAUUCCAUAGUCUGGGUAUUUGUCCUUAAUCGAUUGUACCACCUAAGGCAACUGGAUGCAAAAUACAUUCUAUCCACUCUUCUCUGGGCCUCCCCCUCCCUAGUCUUGGCACAUUCCUUCAAGAAUGUAGUUACCGUCUGCUUGGGAAGAUGUCAGUGCAAAUGUGAAGAAAAUGGACAUCGGACUAGGCUUUGGUUUGCCACAGUGGCAGCUGCCUAUAUCAAUUACAAUUACAUUUAUUAAUUUUGCUUUUCAUUUUUCCAGUUCCCCUCAGCUCCCCUCUGUUGAAAUGUUGGCUGUCAAGAGGCAACUGUGAUGCUGCCUUAGGGACUUGUGGAGAAAGGGAGGGGAAUUGCUCAGUGUAGUGUUUCACUUUCAGAACCAAGUAAUCUAGUCACUCAUAUUUAAGAAGUGUGUUAGUCUGACUUUAAGAGAAAUCCAAACUCCAUCAGCUUUUGAUAGCAUCUUGGUUUUCGAAACAACGUCAAUCUGUAAUUGGCAUUUAGAAUGCCCUUGGCAUGCCAGUCUGUGAUGGCAUUGAAGACCUGUUAAAACACUUGAGCCCAACUUUAUUAACCAAAACUGAUACCACCACCUUUAUCUUCUAAAUAAAGUCCGCUUUAUUUUUAUUUUCAA